UACGUAGGGGGCAAGCGUUAUCCGGAAUUACUGGGUGUAAAGGGAGCGUAGACGGUAGUGUAAGUCUGGAGUGAAAGGCGGGGGCCCAACCCCCGGACUGCUCUGGAAACUAUGUUACUAGAGUGCAGGAGAGGUAAGCGGAAUUCCUAGUGUAGCGGUGGAAUGCGUAGAUAUUAGGAGGAACACCAGUGGCGAAGGCGGCUUACUGGACUGUAACUGACGUUGAGGCUCGAAAGCGUGGGGAGCAAACAGG
rnacentral:rRNA from 1 species